GUGCUCACUUACACAGCACAUAUACUAAAAUUGGAACAAUACAGAGAAGAUCAUCAUGGCCUCUGUACAAGGAUGACGCAGAAAUUCAUAAAGCAUUCCAUAUUUUU
rnacentral:snRNA from 1 species